CCUACGGGUGGCAGCAGUGGGGAAUAUUGGGCAAUGGGCGCAAGCCUGAACCAGCAACGCCGCGUGAAGGAAGAAGGCUUUCGGGUUGUAAACUUCUUUUCUCAGGGACGAAGCAAGUGACGGUACCUGAGGAAUAAGCCACGGCUAACUACGGGCCAGCAGCCGCGGUAAUACGGAGGUGGCAAGCGGUAUCCGGAUUUAAUGGGUGUAAAGGGCGUGUAAGCGGGAUUGCAAGUCAGAUGUGAAAACCAUGGGCUCAACCUGUGGCCUGCAGUUGAAACUGUAGUUCUUGAGUACUGGAGAGGCAGACGGAAUGCGUAGUGUAGCGGUGAAAUGCGUAGAUAUUAGGAGGAACACCAGUGGCGAAGGCGGUCUGCUGGACAGCAACUGACGCUGAGGCGCGAAAGCGUGGGGAGCAAACAGGAUUAGAUACCCGUGUAGUC
rnacentral:rRNA from 1 species